CCCAACCGCUCUUAUCAUCUCAACCAUUUUUGUUAUGAUUGAAGCCAGGCAGGAGGCAGUUUUGAUGAUAACGUCCCCACGCCCCCCUUUUCGUCCUCCCCUCAACCGCCUCUCUCCGCUGCUACCCCCUCGUUGUCAAGCCCAUGAGGUGAUGCAGAGCCGCACGGUCUCUGCCACCGAUGACAAGACGGGGCGGUGUAACUGCUCUCCGCCGCUCCGCCGCAUCUGAACCCCUGCUACGAGCGCCGGGUUUCGCGGGAAGAAGAAGUACCAGGCCCACGAUCCCCGGAAUCAGUUCGAGGUUCGCGACAAUGUCCAGCUCCAGAAGGUGCCGCCACAUCACGAAGACAGAAGACCGUCGUCGUCCCAGGAUGUUUCCAAGGCUGUCGACGCUGUAGGACGGAGUGGAAGAUUAAUGGAUGAUAUAUGUCAUCAAACUCUCUCAAAAUUUUGCAAUGAUAUGGAUGGUAGCGAAUGAUGAGGCUCGCUCCUCACAAUGAUGCUGUUGAUGGUAAGGAAGGAUGAAGUCCUUUUCUCAUAGGAAUAAUGAUAGAGGUAUUAUAACAUGGUCGACACCUUGGUAGCGAAUGAUGAAGCUUUGUCCUCACAAUGAUGCUGUUGAUGGUACACAGCCUUCAGUUGAGGGGCCGAUCUAAGUCUCAAGGAGGCAGUGUCCUUUAGCCUGCAGGUCUCACUUCCAUCGAUGGCAGAUGCCUUGACCAUAUACCGAGGAAGAAGAGGACCACUCAAUGCAUGCUUCUUCAGCCAGCUCAGCUCCAUCUUCCUUCUUCCCUGAUCCCAAAGAAGGUCUUCCUAUUUGAUUGUUCUUAUUUCCUUAACUAAUAAGGAUAUAUAUUUGAAAUUAUU